rnacentral:misc_RNA from 1 species
GAAAUGCGAUAAGUAGUGUGAAUUGCAGAAUUCAGUGAAUCAUCGAAUCUUUGAACGCACAUUGCGCCCCUUGGUAUUCCAUGGGGCAUGCCUGUUCGAGCGUCAUUUGUACCCUCAAGCUCUGCUUGGUGUUGGGUGUUUGUCCCCGUCUCCGCGCGUGGACUCGCCCCAAAGUGAUUGGCAGCCGGCGUACUGGUCCCGGAGCGCAGCGGCUGAUCCCAGGCUCGAGGAGACCCCCGGGCGAUGACCCGUUAGUGUCGAAAUCCCCUACGCGCGGGGUUCAUCCCCCUACGCGUAGCACCGUUGACCUCGGAUCAGGCGGGGUUACCCGCUGAACUUAAGC